CUACGUAGGUGACAAGCGUUAUCCGGAUUUACCGGGCGUAAAGGGCGUGUAGGCGGUCUUGCAAGUCAGAAGUGAAAUUCCUGAGCUCAACUCGGGCGCUGCUUCUGAAACUGUAUCCCUUGAGUAUCGGAGAGGCAGGCGGAAUUCCUUUUGGAGCCGGUAAAUGCGUAGAUAUUAGGAGGAACACCAGUGGCGAAGGCGGCCUGCUGGACGACAACUGACGCUGAGGCGCGAAAGCGUGGGGAGCAAACAGGAUUAGAUACCCUGGUAGUCCACGCUGUAAACGAUGAAUACUAGGUGUGGGGGGACUGACCCCCUCCGUGCCGCAGUUAACACAAUAAGUAUUCCACCUGGGGAGUACGAUCGCAAGAUUGAAACUCAAAUGAAUUGACGGGG
rnacentral:rRNA from 1 species